rnacentral:tRNA from 1 species
GGGAAUGUGGCUUAGUGGUAGAGUGCUUGCCUUGCAUGCAUGAAGCCCUGGGUUCCAUUCCUCAGUGCCA